GCUGGUUUCAUAUGGUGGUUUAGAUUUAACUACUGAACGUCUAGCACCAUUUGAAAUCAGUGUU
rnacentral:pre_miRNA from 1 species